CGUUCCCCUGUGCGGAGCAGCGCCUUCGGGCUGCAGGGCGCUGCACACAGCAGGAGCUGCGCUGCAGGUUCACUUCUAGAGCACGAAGUGAGAAGAAGCAGGGAGGCUUCAUUUUGAGCCUGCCACGGAAUGGUCAACUUCUGCGCGCUCCCCAAAGGAAACGGGAAUGUUGGAAGAGAUUGUUAACCCUUCUGUUGUUUACGAUGUGGCACGGGAUUAGCAGUGGGGCUCCCCCCAGAGCCCGCGCCCCACCGGCGUGCCGGGCGGAUUAUGGCAGGGCAGCAUGCUGACCUCUGCUCUGCUGGGAAACGGAGGCUCCCGAGAUGAUAAGUGGCUCUGGGAAGAAAUUCCUUUCCCCACAUGAGGGAGUGGCGGCGCUGGGCACGUCUGCACCUCUGCACACACGUGGGGACCUGACGUGGAGAGGUGGGAGCUGAGGUUCUGCGAGGAGGACACGGUGUGGGGCCCUGCAGAUCAGCUGAGGAGUGUGAGUCCUGCUGCCCCCACUCGCCCCUGCUCCUGCCACGCUGGGACAGCCUGCAGCACAGCACAGCCGAGCGCCGGGGACGAUGGUGGUGGGAGAAGACCAUGGCAUCAGGUACCUGUCCCCGGGAAGGAAACACCACGCUGAGGGUCUGCUGGGC
ensembl:lncRNA